AAUCAACGCUGGCGGCGUGCCUCAGACAUGCAAGUCGAACGAUUAAACUUUCCUUCGGGAAAGAUAUAAAGUGGCGCACGGGUGAGUAACACGUAAGUAAUCUACCUUCGAGUGGGGAAUAACGUUCGGAAACGAACGCUAAUACCGCAUAAUGCAGCGGCACCUAAUGGUGACAGUUGUUAAAGGAGCAAUUCGCUUGAAGAGGAGCUUGCGGCAGAUUAGCUAGUUGGUAAGGAACGGCUUACCAAGGCUACGAUCUGUAACCGGUCUAAGAGGACGGUCGGUCACACUGACACUGAAUAACGGGUCAGACUCCUACGGGAGGCAGCAGUCGGGAAUUUUGGGUCGAAUGGGCGAAAGACCUGACCCAGCAACGCCGCGUGAAGGAUGAAGU
rnacentral:rRNA from 1 species